GGGGUGGAGCAGCUUGGUAGCUCGUCGGGCUCAUAACCCGAAGGUCGUCGGUUCAAAUCCGGC
rnacentral:tRNA from 3 species